GGAGCAUCUUGGCUGCACGGAUUUACAUUUUUAGCAAGACUCAAACUGACACAGGCAGAGUGAAAGACUGGAUUCUUUUUUCGAUCAGGUAUGACUCAGAGGAAGUGACAUCAUUUGGCUGAGGUGAAGCUGACACUGAUCAAGGGUUGCAGUUAGAUGGCUCCAGUUAGUGCUGCUGAGAGACAAAGGCAAUGCCGGGCACAACUAAAUGCAGACAUUGAGAGAAAGGAGAAACAUCUUCAGAAAGAAAGGGAGAGAAGGAGGCAGAGAAAGGAAAGAAGGAAAAGUAUUCAUGAGUUGAAUGGGCGAGACCAAAGGCAUAGGUGCAAAUUAUGGAGAGAGCAACAGAGAAAAUCUAGGCUUACGAAAAAGGCAGCAGUUCCAGGGCCAGGGCCAGUUCCAGGGUCUGGGCCUUCAAGGUAAAAGGGAGAGGGGCAAAAACGUUCAAAGAAAGA